rnacentral:rRNA from 1 species
CACGUAGGAGGCGAGCGUUGUCCGGAAUCAUUGGGCGUAAAGAGCGCGCAGGCGGCUUGGCAAGUCGGGUGUGAAAUCCCGGGGCUCAACCCCGGGACUGCAUUCGAUACUGUCAGGCUAGAGGUAGGUAGGGGAGAUCGGAAUUCCUGGUGUAGCGGUGAAAUGCGCAGAUAUCAGGAGGAACACCGGUGGCGAAGGCGGUUCUCUGGGCAUUACCUGACGCUGAGGAGCGAAAGUGUGGGGAGCGAACAGG